UGGGGAAUUUUGGACAAUGGGGGCAACCCUGAUCCAGCAAUGCCGCGUGUGUGAAGAAGGCCUUCGGGUUGUAAAGCACUUUUGUCCGGGAAGAAAUCGCACCUGAUAAUACCGGGUGUGGAUGACGGUACCGGAAGAAUAAGGACCGGCUAACUACGUGCCAGCAGCCGCGGUAAUACGUAGGGUCCAAGCGUUAAUCGGAAUUACUGGGCGUAAAGCGUGCGCAGGCGGUUGUGCAAGACCGAUGUGAAAUCCCGGGGCUUAACCUGGGAAUUGCAUUGGUGACUGCACGGCUAGAGUGUGUCAGAGGGGGGUAGAAUUCCACGUGUAGCAGUGAAAUGCGUAGAGAUGUGGAGGAAUACCGAUGGCGAAGGCAGCCCCCUGGGAUAACACUGACGCUCAUGCACGAAAGCGUGGGGAGCAAACAGG
rnacentral:rRNA from 1 species